rnacentral:tRNA from 1 species
ACCGAAAUAGCUCAGUUGGGAGUUAGACUAUAGAUUGAAAGGUCCCUGGUUCGAUCCCGGGUUUCGGCA